CCUCCAAGAAAGCAGGAUGCUGAAAACAGUGAAAAAACAGCAUUCUGGCCCCUCCUAUCACUUCCUGAAAGCAUUACUGCUUAAAAAGACAAACUACUGAGAUCUACCACUGUGUUAUGGUUACAAAAAGCUUCAAUGUACUGCACACCAUGACGAAUAUAUCCACUUAUAAAAUUACUGUGACUCCACCACCAUGGCCCAGAUUCUCUGGUUUGGCUGAACUAUGUUUGGUGCAAGAGCAGACAGGAAAACAUAGCAUUUUAGUCAUCUUUGUGCUCCCUAUUUCUUGGGUCUGUCAGAUCAGAGUCUGCAUUAACCAUUCGUCUUCAGGUUAGUUUAUUGUAAGAUCAGCUACUCAUGCUGGACAGGAACCAUUCCUGAAUCCAACAGGGUCAUGGCAUACCCUGACAGCAUCUCUUUUCUUCUAUGUGACUCCCCACCUCAAACUGGCAAAGGUGGAAGAUAUAGGAGCUGCUAUCAUGUCCCUUUAUCUUUACCAGCUCUCCCAUCAACUUAAUUACUCCAGCUCCCACGAGUGUUGGUAGCUAUGUAGCAGGAGAAGUUCUCUGCCAACAUAGCGCUGUCCACGUUGGCGUUUAAGUCAGUGUAAUUUACGUCAUUUGGGGUGGCUUAUUCACACCUGUAGGUGUCAUAACUUUUAUUCAGUUAAGCUGUAGUGUGUACAUAACUUUAGAAGACUUGACAGCCAGGCCUUCUAUCUACACUACCAAUGCAGCUGAUUUACCACAGUAUUAAGACUUCGCAGAAUUCGAUUUUUAUUUUUGUAUGAUUUUGACGGAUAAUAUCAAUGUUUGUUUUUAAGCAUCUUUUCCAAUUUUUAUGAAUUUAAUUUUUCAAUUGCUGGACAUUAUGGGGGACGAUGGUAUCAGACAAUUAUCUGACAGAUAUUGACUUUGAAAAGUUAAAUCUUUAUAACCCUUAAAACACAUUGUCAA